rnacentral:rRNA from 1 species
GAUGAACGCUGACAGAAUGCUUAACACAUGCAAGUCAACUUGAACUUCGGUUUGGGUGGCGGACGGGUGAGUAACGCGUAAAGAACUUGCCUCACAGAUAGGGACAACAUUUGGAAACGAAUGCUAAUACCUGAUAUUAUGAUUUUAGGGCAUCCUAGGAUUAUGAAAGCUAUAUGCGCUGUGAGAGAGCUUUGCGUCCCAUUAGCUAGUUGGAGAGGUAACGGCUCACCAAGGCGAUGAUGGGUAGCCGGCCUGAGAGGGUGAUCGGCCACAAGGGGACUGAGACACGGCCCUUACUCCUACGGGAGGCAGCAGUGGGGAAUAUUGGACAAUGGACCAAGAGUCUGAUCCAGCAAUUCUGUGUGCACGAUGAAGUUUUUCGGAAUGUAAAGUGCUUUCAGUUGGGAAGAAAAAAAUGACGGUACCAACAGAAGAAGUGACGGCUAAAUACGUGCCAGCAGCCGCGGUAAUACGUAUGUCACAAGCGUUAUCCGGAUUUAUUGGGCGUAAAGCGCGUCUAGGUGGUUAUAUAAGUCUGAUGUGAAAAUGCAGGACUCAACUCUGUAUUGCGUUGGAAACUGUGUAACUAGAGUACUGGAGAGGUAAGCGGAACUACAAGUGUAGAGGUGAAAUUCGUAGAUAUUUGUAGGAAUGCCGAUGGGGAAGCCAGCUUACUGGACAGAUACUGACGCUGAAGCGCGAAAGCGUGGGUAGCAAACAGG